AAAGUGUCCUUUUUGGCCCGAUUGCACCUACCUCCGCAGUAACAUCCCGGCCAAACGAGCCGCUGUGAGGAGAGCGAAGGUGCUGGGCUGAUAAGAGAGUAGAUGUGCAAUGUCCUUUAGAGGAGCGGGGAAGAAUCCACUCGGGAAAUCCUGAAGUUCCUCGCAGGAAUUUAUCGACACCAGGCAGCAAGGCAGCUUGCUCGCGUGCUGCGUUCCCGGGGCGGGACGCAGCCUCUGCGGUCAUUUUCCCGUGAGGACUACUCUCCGCCUUUCGGGAGAAGGAUUUGACCUUCUUUGGGGUCAGCACUCGAGAAUGCAGCCGCUAGAUUGUCAGCCCUCUGUAGGUGGAGCCAUGCCCACCACCUCUCAGCGGACCCUGAAGC